UUGAAUAAACUCGGUGGGUUGCUGCUGACUCUUCGGAGUAUGUGCACACCUGCUUCUGUUUCUUCUUUCACCACCUGUGCACUCUUUGUAGGCUUGGAGUACCUCUCGAGGUAACUCGGAUUUGGAACUGUUCUCGAGACUGUUCCUGUUAUUCCAGCCUAUGUUUUUUCUAUCAUAUACACAUGUUUAUAGAAUGUAUAUACAGGCCGUCACAAGCCUAUAAAAUCUAUA
rnacentral:misc_RNA from 1 species